rnacentral:lncRNA from 1 species
UGAGAGCACAAAAGUGCGAUCUACAUGCUGCUUAAAUUAGUAUUACUGCUAACAUAUAACGAUAAAAUCACUAAGUUAAUACUAUAUUUUUGUUUGGCACAGGUUAGUAUAAAUUAAAGUCUAAAUGCGCAUUUGGUAGGGAUUAGAGGGAUGCAUCAUGGCCCCAAACUGCGCGGGCCCAAUCUUGCUAUGAUCUGAUCGAGUACAUGUGUACCCAAACAUCCGAGCCCGCACGCGAUCUCCUAGUGAUC